AUUGAACGCUGGCGGCAGGCCUAACACAUGCAAGUCGAGCGGUAGAGAGAAGCUUGCUUCUCUUGAGAGCGGCGGACGGGUGAGUAAUGCCUAGGAAUCUGCCUGGUAGUGGGGGAUAACGUUCGGAAACGGACGCUAAUACCGCAUACGUCCUACGGGAGAAAGCAGGGGACCUUCGGUCCUUGCGCUAUCAGAUGAGCCUAGGUCGGAUUAGCUAGUUGGUGGGGUAAUGGCUCACCAAGGCGACGAUCCGUAACUGGUCUGAGAGGAUGAUCAGUCACACUGGAACUGAGACACGGUCCAGACUCCUACGGGAGGCAGCAGUGGGGAAUAUUGGACAAUGGGCGAAAGCCUGAUCCAGCCAUGCCGCGUGUGUGAAGAAGGUCUUCGGAUUGUAAAGCACUUUAAGUUGGGAGGAAGGGCAGUAAAUUAAUACUUUGCUGUUUUGACGUUACCGACAGAAUAAGCACCGGCUAACUCUGUG
rnacentral:rRNA from 1 species